rnacentral:rRNA from 1 species
UACGAAGGGGGCUAGCGUUGUUCGGAAUUACUGGGCGUAAAGCGUACGUAGGCGGAUUGUUAAGUGAGGGGUGAAAUCCCGAGGCUCAACCUCGGAACUGCCUUUCAUACUGGCAAUCUUGAGUCCGGGAGAGGUGAGUGGAACUCCUAGUGUAGAGGUGAAAUUCGUAGAUAUUAGGAAGAACACCAGUGGCGAAGGCGGCUCACUGGCCCGGAACUGACGCUGAGGUACGAAAGCGUGGGGGGCAAACAGG